UACAGAGGUCUCAAGCGUUGUUCGGAUUUAUUGGGCGUAAAGCGCGUGUAGGCGGCCAGGUAGGUCGGUUGUGAAAAUUGGAGGCUCAACCUCCAGACGUCGAUCGAAACCAUCUGGCUAGAGUCCGGAAGAGGAGAAUGGAAUUCCUGGUGUAGCGGUGAAAUGCGCAGAUAUCAGGAAGAACACCGAUGGCGAAGGCAGUUCGUCUGGGACGGUACUGACGCUGAGACGCGAAAGCGUGGGGAGCGAACAGG
rnacentral:rRNA from 1 species